rnacentral:rRNA from 1 species
GCCGUAGGCUGCAGUCGACGAUUCCUACGGGAGGCAGCAGUAGGGAAUUUUCCGCAAUGGGCGAAAGCCUGACGGAGCAAUACCGCGUGAGGGAUGACGGCCUGUGGGUUGUAAACCUCUUUUCUCAAGGAAGAAGUUCUGACGGUACUUGAGGAAUAAGCAUCGGCUAACUCUGUGCCAGCAGCCGCGGUAUACAGAGGAUGCAAGCGUUAUCCGGAAUCACUGGGCAUAAAGCGUCUGUAGGUUGUUUAGUAAGUCUGCUGUUAAAGACUGGGGCUCAACCCCAGAAAAGCAGUGGAAACUGCUAGACUUGAGUGUGGUAGAGGUAGAGGGAAUUCCUAGUGUAGCGGUGAAAUGCGUAGAUAUUAGGAAGAACACCAAUGGCGAAGGCACUCUACUGGGCCAUAACUGACACUCAGAGACGACAGCUAGGGGAGCAAAUGGGAUUAGAUACCCCAGUAGUCCUAGCCGUAAACGAUGGAUACUAGAUGUUGCACGUAUUAACCCGUGCAGUAUCGUAGCUAAGGCGUUAAGUAUCCCGCCUGGGAAGUACGCUCGCAAGAGUGAAACUCAAAGGAAUUGACGG